CUAUACUUGACACCACUCAUAUUUUCCUAGUAAUCCGUCCUUGGCUCUAGCACGGGCGCGCAAUAUAGCCACAUCUCGCGCCCUCCUCACACCGGCACCACACCUCGCCGACUACACAACCUCACGCACCACACUGGGUAUACGGGAACGGUGAGAGGGGCAAAACCUACACACAACGCCACUACCUUAGUGGCCUCGCCACUUGACUGGGAAAGCUUCUACUGGCCCUCCACUCCCA